CUCAGCUCAUCAUGCUAGAGCACUUUUUAAAUGGACUCCCAAACGACAAGGCGACGACUCAUUCAUAUGUCAUCCAUAUCAACUUUCGAUGCCACUUUCUGCGUCUACCACGGUGACCAAGGGUAACGGGGAAUCAGGGUUCGAUUCCUGAGAGGGAGCCUGAGAAACGGCUACCACAUGCAAGUAAGGUAUCAGGCGCGCAAAUGACCCACUCCCGACGCGGGAAGGUAGUGACG